rnacentral:lncRNA from 1 species
GUGCUGUCUUGAGCCUGUUAAAGUUUUUUAUUUAUUAUAUAUUAUAAUGGGUUAAAAAUAUUUCGCUAAAAUGGUCAUUGACAAUUUUAAUUUUCUAUAAAAUCGGUUAAAAAUCAGGCGCUAAAAAUAGGUUAUACUUUGGCGCCAAAACGUCCGAUUUUUUUCGCUCAAUGUCCUAUUAAUGCGCUAAAAUGUCCUCCGCC